rnacentral:lncRNA from 1 species
AUUGCAAGUACUCAACAAAUUAAUUCAAGUACGAAAGGAAUAAUAUAUAAUAGAAAAUUUUGCUCAAUAUUGAAAUAUAAGCAAAAGUUAAGAAACUUGAGCGCCCGCUACAAAGUUAUGAUAUACGUCCUUUAAAUAUCCUACACAUUUUAGUCAUGAUAAUACAUUGAUUAGCUAUGAAACAAUGUUCACUAACCUCUUACACUAACUCCAUUCUAUGACCCAUCAUUCUUUGAUGUGAAUACGACUUGUUAUUAUAUCUUUUUACACACUUAACACCUCAUUAUGUUCAUUAGAAUAAGUUAAGUAAAACAUCUCCCAAUAUGUACAUUUAAAAUCUCAUUACUUGGCCUGAUCUACCACCAGCGCGGCCGCGCCACAUUUGGCCUUGGUACCAGCGUGGCAGCGCUUUUGCGCAGUCGAGCCCAGUUAAGCUUGGAUCAUGGUGUGACAGUGCCCUCCUGCAGAAUAAGUUUUCCAAUUUUGUUUCAUACUCUGUUUCCAUCUGAACUUUCUAUCUUAUUCAUUUAGGGACCAAAUCAGAUAGUUUACAAUUCUAUAAACUCGCUACACACUGAACUACACAUUUACAUAACAAUUUUUCCAUUACAGGAAUUCUAUCCAACCAUUUAAAUAACCCAAAUUCAGUAUUCAUGUUAUAUAUUCCUAUUUUAACAUAUUUUACGAAUUCGUUGUAAGUCCGAUUUAAUUCAUUCAAACUGGAUUGUUUUUGUAUUUGAGAGAUAUAUAACAUAGAAUCAUCAAUUCAAGACUUUAAACAUAAUAUUAGAACCAAUUUAUCCUCUAAAUCAGAGCCAAAAUAUCUAAAAUCAGUCCAAAGUCUAUUUCUUUCUCUUUUACACACAAAUUCUAAUUUGAUUACUCUAAUUUUACUGUAAAUGACAAAAAUCAAAUUAUUAAUCAAUUGAAAUCACGUAAUUUGAAAUUUUCACCAACUCAUUCAACCAAACAACUUCUAAUAGAGAAAAACUUAAGAAAUAGGAAUAAGAAGUUUUGAAGUGUCUUUCCUACCUCUUAGAUCUUCUUUAGCCUAGUUAGAUUAUGAAGAAUGCUUGGUUAACUCUUCCUUCUUCUCCUUGAUCAACAAAGUUUUCUCCAUACUUCGCAGGAAGCCCAUUGACGCUCUUUCUCUCUCUUUGAGUUCUCUCAAUUUUCUCUCUACCGGAUUUCUUCUUAACGAAAUGGAAUAAUAAGGAAAUGAGAGUAAUAUACUUGUAAUUAAUUAACCGAUCGGUUAAGGAAUGGAAGGUCAGAGCCGUUUGGGAGAGCUCAGGUACAUUUCAAG